AUUCAGCUCCUUUCGUUACGUAAUGAAAGGUUUCACAAUGUCAUCGCUCAGAGUUAGACAACGAGUGUCAGUACAAAACUGGCUUUGCCUCGACACUGACACUCAUAAAAGGAUCAGUCCCAACCAUACUGGACCCAGCAACUGCACCCCAGCCACAGUUUCUGCCCACCUGUGGGAUCACCCUGACUGGUUUCACCUGGUUCUGAAUUUGGAUGUUCCCUCCCUGGAGGCACUUGUGGUUCACCAGCUUUAACACCAUCCUGCAUGCAAGUUUUGUGGAAAACCAACCAACCAACAAAAGGGACACGGCACCUUUUUUCCUUGUACACCUGUGUUUCUUUUGUUCAUCAGCCCUUGUGUAUCUAAAUCUGUCGUUUCCCCCUCAGUCUCUGUCAGUUCGUCUGUUUUCAUCCUGCGUCCCCUGUGUUCCCGUCCCCUGGUCCUCGUAUGUCCUCUGUGCUCCCGCUUUGUUCUCGGUGGCUUCAGGUUUGUCUUCAGUUUUGUAUUUCGGUUUCGUUUUUCCUUUUGUUGUUUGCAUUUCGGACUUGUCCCCCCCCCCCCCGUCUUAUUUUCUGCCUCAAUGUUGCCAUUUAUGCAAACCAUGACAGUGUGUAUGUAUAGCACAGUAUACUUUUAUACAGUGCAUAUGAGUCAAUAUGACAUCUGCCUGAGAUAAGCAGUGAAAAGUAGCUUGGACAUUAAAUAUGGUGGGUUAUGGUGGCAGAGAAACAGCUUGACAGUGUUACAUUAUGUUGUGUCUGUGUUGAGGAGUCUGACUGCUGGUGGAGCAGAGGACCUGCCGUAGCGCUCCUUCUUACACUGUGGGUGCAGCGGCCUGUAGCAGCCUUGUUAGGCAACAGCGUGGAAUUGACUGUACGGUUUUCUAGGAUCCUAGACUGUCAAAAGUGGAGCUGCUGCAAGCCUUCAGCCGUGGACACUGCAGGGGUUCAUGCAGCAUCUGGCAUAUGAGAAGAAAUCAUCGGAGGAAGAACCCGUUUGGAGCUUUAGGACACUCUGGUUUUCUGUCUUUCUCGCUCUGAUGCUCUCUCGUUCCCUCACACAUUUUUUUUUUCCCACUCCUGCUCUGUCCUAGUCAUCUGUCUCCAUCUGGACCCGUGCAUGUAUAUAUAGGAUCGGUGCCAGCACAGCCAGUCACUCACUUCAAAACACAGAGCUGAGGGCUUUUUCUCUCGAUGGCAAACAGGAAAGGAGGACAUGGCAAAGAAAUGUGGAGAGAGAAUGCAUUAUAACAGCCCAAUCAGCCAUUGUUAUGUGCAUGUUAAAUUGUUUUUUGCAAGUGGAUCUGUGACCUUUGAAUGAAGCCUGUGAUUAUGAAUCGCAUAAUGAGAACAUAAGCCUAUCAUCAAGCUACUCUAUAUUUACAUUCUCUUUCUGUCUCCUUCUCUCUUUUCUUUCUUCCUUUUCCCACUCUCAGACUCGAUCAGUGGGACAAGGACAUUCACUCUUUCAGCUUUGCCACGACCUCGGGGAGCCAAUCAUCUCGUUGCUGUCAAACUUUAAAACUGUUCCUUUCUCCGCUGCUGUCAGCUGAUAUUUCAGUGUCAGAUCGUUGCAAAUCUCCUCCCAUCCAUUCAGUUUUCAUCACAUCCGGCGCUUGUGGGUCCUUGGAAUUCCCGCUCCACAUCCAUCCAGAUCUUCCACUAUUGCUCUUCAGCCCCUCAUCUCCACUAUUCACCAAAGGCUCCUCUCAUAUAUCCUCAAUUUUUCUACCUCCUUUUUUAAAUUAAAGGAACACACAAUAUUCUAAGUCAAUCAAUAUGCCAUUCCCAUGAGAACUGUGAACCUGGAUGGAGCAGGCAUCCUAUUUAGUCACCCACUGACGCCAUAGAAUGCUGUUUUCAACAGGGUUGCAUUUAUCUCGAGCUUACUUUGACAUUGAAGAGGAUGCUUGCAUGGAUGGUGUUGAUGUGUGUGGUUUCAUAUCUGUGUGUGCACGUGCGUGCUGUGCUCAUACUCACUGAUUUGAUGGCAGGACUACCAGUCUGAAUCCUUUUAAGCCUCCUCUUUAGCCACUGAGACUCUUUGACAUAAAGAGACUCAGAGGCUCAAUGCUAUUUCUGAUUUUUACCCCCCUCACUGUUGAGUGCCCCCAUAGCCCUUCAGAACAUGGGUAGUGGUUGAAAUCUUCACCUAUAGCCGUAGUACAUUGAAAAAGUGCAGUUCUCAUAAUCCUGUACCAUUGAAAAACGCAAGUUUGGAGGGCCAUGUAACCCUAACACUCCACCCUUCUCCUCUAUCCCAACAACAAUCAGGACACCCUACCCCUAAGCUAAACGGGAUGUGUGUUGGGUUGCACAAGCAGGGAGUAAUGGCAUAUGUUCAAGGAAAUUUUCACUUGAAAUAAAAAGCAAAAUGUACUAUCCUGAAACGUAAAAACCAAGCAACCCGCUCACAACCUUGUUGACGCAAUAUGGAUCCAGCAGCAAAGAGCUUAGGGGCAAAAUGCAAAGUCAUUAGCCAGCAAAAUGUUUAAACCUAGCUGCAACUCAGUGUGAUGUAAUUUGGCAAUGCGCUGAUUUGGCCGAUCACAACCAAGCAGAGGUAAAAGACUGUCGACGUGAUAAUAUAAAAAGACCUGCCCAGAUCCUUCAUUUUUAUUUUUAUUUUAUUUCUGUCAAAAUUGUUUGUUUUCAGCCUAAACGUCUCGCAACCCUCAUGUGAGAGUCAUGUGUACGGUGGCCAACAAGGGCAAACGUGCAGCAAAGAAAGUCUUGUGGAUUAUUAACAAAACAUCUUUAAUUCUACAACAUCCCAGUGGACAGUUUAACUCCAACUUUACAUUAUUAAAUCUAUUUCAACAGAUGGGCCUUUUACAUGGAAAAUAAGCUCCUGUAGAUACACUAGAUCAUAAUCCAAGGCUGAUUUCUUAUGGUACACGUCUAUAGUCCUGAUGCAAUUUUGGCAACAUCCAUUGUACAUAAUGCAGCCAGAAAGUCUGGGAGAACAAACUGUAUGACACACACACCCACGCGCACACACAGAGUCUUUCCUACUAUUUGCUUCUUUGCAUUCUCAGAGAGAUGAUUAAAGGGGCUCUUCAGUAUUCAGGCAGGUAGUCUCAUAUUUACAAGCAGUUAGAUGAAUGGAACAUUUUUCCCUUCAUGGUUCUUGUUUCCCAUGACUACUGUUGCUGUGACAAAUAGAAAAUAUAAUGAAAUCCAACAUUG